UUAAAAGUUAGCUAAAAUAUACAAUAAAGCGCAACUCAUGAGAGGAGGGGGGUGCAAAUGAUCAUUGCUUACAAUAUAUAAAUUUUAAAGUUGAUCAAUACUCACAAUAUAUAAUGUUUGGUUAGAAUAAAUUUUUGAAGGUUUUGUUAAAAUGGAGGCUGUUCAGAGACUUGUUCGUUCAUUAAAAUCAGGAAGAUCUUACGAACUACCAGAAGACCCAAAGGCAGCAUAUUUUAUGUUACUAUCAUUUAUAAUGCAGAAUCAGCACAGGUAA
rnacentral:lncRNA from 1 species